UGAGCAAGUUCUGAUGAAGGCAGAUGACAGGGCAUCCAGAUCCAUCAGAGCAGGGCCUUGAAUUAGACUCGCUGCCACAGGCCUGGGGGCCAAGGCACCCUCAGGCCCCCAAGUCAGAGCCGUCCCCUGAGUCCUGCACGUAGGAAGCCUGACCAAACGAAUGUCUGCUCUUAGAAGGUGGGACAGCGUUUCCCUUUAGGUUGUGUGCGUAGCUCCCGUGAGGGGGCAAGGAGGGACUUCUGGGGGCCAGUCAGGCUCUCCUUCCUGAUCUGGGUGUCACCUGGGUGUGUCCAGUUUGGGAGAAUCCCCUGAGCCAGGCAACACUUAUGAUGCGUCCACUUUUCUGUGUGUAGAUUAUAAUUCAGUAGAUCAAAAGUAAAGAAGAAACGAAGAGAGGGAGGGAGGAAAGGAGAAAGGGGGGGAAGAAGGAAGGGAGAAAGGGAGAGUGAUGUAAAGGCAGAUCGAGGCACUUGGACCUGAUUCAACAGGUAAACGCGUGAACUCCAGUCGUCCCGUUGGGACAGGACAGGACAGUAGCAUUAUUGUAGGAAGAUUGAUUGUGGAGAGCAGUUGAAAUGGGAUGAGGCUGAAGUAAGCCAACAAAGAAAGGGUUACAGUGGCCUUAGUCUGGGGAUGAGGCUUAGAUUAGAUAGGUGGGGGUGUUACGAGGGUAGGGGGCCAGUUUCAAGGUAAGCUUUCCAUUCAUGAGCCCUCAUGCAGCACACGCUGUCGGCUGCUUUCAUAAGCUAGCAUUUCGUAUCGUGCUGCACAACAUUAAAAUUCACUUUCUUUACACAGUAAUCAUGAUGCUUGCUGUUAUCGGCUGGGCAGGGCCCGGGACAGCCCACUUAGAUGUGCUCGUCCACAGCUGAGCUGCAGAGCUCCAGCCUGGCGAGCCUCUGCUCCCAGAUGUGUGCCCUUUGUCAGGAGGCCCCAAGGUACUGGCAAUAUAGUAGUGAACAAAACAGAAAACAAGUCUUGCCUGUGUGGAGCUUAUAUUAUUAAGGAUGGAGAGAGACAGCACAAACAUAAGUCCUGCACGCCAGCCUAUUGGGGUCUCCUCCUCCCUCCCACCUGCGUGGGGUCAUCUUAGUCAAGCCUUGAAAAUUCAGACCAGGGUACCUACUGAUGUGGCACCUCUGCGACCCCAGGAAGUCGACACCUGAACACAGCCCCACUGACACCAGGCCGGUCCCUCACCUGGGAUGUCGAGACCCGCCCUUGUGCUCCUUUUCUGGAAGUCCCUCUACCUUAGGACCGGUUGGUCUCCUUUUCCCCGUGGAGCUACCACCUGGAGCCUGAGUCUCACUCUGCUUCUCCCGUCUCCCAGUUCUUACUCCAGCUGUAGAUCCGGGCAUGGCUUCAGGAGAAAGUUCAUCUGUCCAUUCGCUCCUGGACUUACCCCAUCUCACACCAUCAAAUGUGUUUCUGUCAUAUUUUAAAAUGUGUCUUUUGCCAUUAAACUCCAUUCUCCUGCCUUUGUGUUCUUCUUUGGGGAAUGAAUUCAAAUGAGGGCUGCUUUGAUUGGAUCACCCUUCCCAAACUCCACAGGUGACCAGAGAAAAGGCACUCCAUGCGUCAGCAGAUGAUUUUUCCAUGAUGUACGGGACGCAUGUGCUGUCAUGGUUACGCUGGUGUUUUGGGUUUUGUUCUUGUUUCCUUCUUUCUAAUAGUUUCUAAAGUUUCAUCUCUGCCUGAGUUUCACAAGAACACAUGUAAGUUCUGCCCUAACCCAGGCUUAGGGUGUGGUAGGCAGCCCUUAAACUGGCUUGUCUAUACUUUCUUGUGGGUUUGCAUCUGCCCCACCAGCACUGUAUUCACUCAGCUUAAACAACUGCAUUUAAAAAAAAUAUUUUAUUUAUUUAUAUUUUGGCUGUGCCGUACAGCAUGCAGCACAGCCAGGGAUCGAACCCACGCACCUUGCAGUGGAAGCCUACCUGGAAUCUUAACCACUGGACCACCAGGGAAGUCCCAGACAACUGCAUUUUCAAACUCUGAGCUCGACAGCAGUUGCCCUGGGAGCAAAGUGACCCAGGAACUAAGCCCAAUGCUGCACUCAGUCUGGCAACAAGGAUUCUCCACAAACUCCUCCUCAGCAGAAAUCUACACUACAGUCUUCUCCACCCAUUUUUUAUUUUCUGGAUCACAAAGUUUGUUUCAAGUUGUAUCUAAACCUCCAAAUAAUAAUUUCUGGAGGACAGCAUUUUUUUCCACAAUAUUUGUUUGGGAUAUAAUUCAUAGAACA